GUGGUGGAGGCAGUAUAAAGGUUACACUAUUCCAUGGCCGUGGAGGCAGUAUUGGUCGUGGUGGUGGCCCAACAUAUCUGGCUAUUCAGUCCCAACCCCCUGGGGAACGCUUGGGUCUACUGAGCAGGGAGAGAUGGUAGAGGCCAAGAUUGGGUUGGCACAGAUAGCUGUUAGACAACUAGAGAUAUACACAACAGCAGUGCUGCUUGCGACCCUUGGUCCAGCUAUCCCACCCAGAGAAGAAAAAUGGCGUAAUGUCAUGGAAGAGAUCUCAAACAUCAGUUGGCAGUGUAGUGUAUGAAAAUACAGAAUUCCUGGCCUACUUCCAUGAAGCCACACCAGAGGCAGAAUUCCUAUAGCCAAGCACUAUGAUGAAGUCCUUGUGUCGAAGGAGAGGCAAGAGCUUGGCCAUGAACUAAGAAGUGAGCUCAUGACAGCUGAAAAGUUUGUCAUGGUUAUUAGUGGGCACGAGAAACUUCAGCAGAAUAAUAGGAGCUUGAGGAGGCUGAUUGAGAAUAGACUUCCCUUCCUCAAUCCCUUGAACAUGUUGCAGGUGGAGAUACUCAAGAGGUUAAGACGUGACGAUGACAACUGUAAGAUCAGAGAUGCUUUGCUUAUCACCAUAAAUGGGAUUCCUGCAGGGAUGAAGAAUACAGGUUGACCUUGCUUCUCAAGGACUAUAUCGUACAAGCCUUCUACAAUUAACAUAUGUUCACCCUUGUUCUAUAAUAGGUUUGCUGAGGAAAGAUUAUCAUAGCCAUAAUGGUGAAUUGUUUGUUCUGUACUCAAAGAUAUAUUGUUGUAUAAGAAUGUGAUGUAAAAUAGUUAAGUUUUCCAGCA